UUCGUUGCUAGUUGUAUCCCGACUGCCGCUCGCAUCCCGAUCGUGUAACGAGUAACAACCCAACAGUCAAAAGCCGAAGAUUUUAUAUUGACCUUUCCCCAACAGUCAAAAGCCGAAGAUUUUAUAUUGACCUUUCACUUUUUCUAUCUGUCUCUCGCUCUAAUUUGAGCGAUUUUCCCAUGAUGAGUGUCCCCGAGCCUCCUCGUGUGGUUGUUGUUGUUGGAAGUUGAAACCGAAACCCCUUCGUGCGCUGCCAAAAUCAGCGAAGAACGAAAUCGAGUGGCUCAAGCAAAAAAACGAAAAAAAAAUGACGAACGAGUGUGCUGUGACAAUAACACACACACGCACAAGGCGACACCCGAAAUCUGGUGCGAUACCGGCUUUCAGUGGAGCAAGUACACACAUGCACACAUUUGGCCACACCACGGUGAUACAACACACAGCCACGCACUUGGCGAUACACGCUGUGUGGUGCGGUGCGGCGGACGUUCAGAAUUCAGUGGUGCAAAUACACACAUGCAUACACUUGGCGAUACACGCUCUGCUGUGCGGUGAGGUUUGUGUUCUGUGUCCAGUGGUGCAAAUACACACACACACGCACUUGGCUACACACGCAGUACGGCGCGGUUGGCUUGGCAGAAGCGCAUACACACAUUCACGCAGUAGGCUUUACUUUCAGUCCAGUGAGGUUGGUGCUCGUGUGGUGUUUCAGCGCUUGGCGGAUAAACCCCGUAAAAAUGGAAUUUUGUUUAAUUUGAGGUAAGUAAAAGUGAUUAAAAUUAUCAACCUACAUCCCCCCUUCUUAUUAAUAUCAUUUUUCUUCCAUUUCAUGUGUGUUUCACGGCGAACGGAGACAACAAAACCUGUGGCAGUGUUGUGGUGUUGGAGAUGGUGGCCCGUACAGUGCAGCGAGAAGAACCAGGAGCAACAGCGAUGAGGAGCAGAAAGUGCUGUGCUGAAUUUGUUUUUUUUUCACUGUGCGAGUGUAAAAACUGUUUUUUUUUAAAUUAUGUGCGUUGAUUUAGAAUUAAGUGCAGUGAUAAUUGUGCAAGUGUUGUGUUUUUUUGUAUUCUAUGUUGGUUCGAUUUUCAAUAAAUCGAAUUACGAUAGUAUAAUGGUGUGCACUGUAUCAUUUCGGAAAGAAAUCCUGGCAAAAAAGGGGGAGGGGACUAAUUAAACGAAGGUUCGUGCAGACCCCCGUUCGGGUUUUGCUUCGGCUUCGGGUUUGCUUCGGCUUCGGGACCCGACGGAUCACUUGAAUAAUUUCGCCAACUCAAGUUCUUUUUCAAGCGCGUAUUCAAGCGAUCUCUGAGUGCUGGUGCCCGGUGGGUCGUUUUUUCUAUCUGUCUCUCGCUCUAAUUUGAGUGAUUUUCCCUUCGUGAGUAUCCACGAGCUCCCUCGUGUGGUUGUUGUUGUUGGAAGUUGAAACCGAACCCCCUUCGUGCGCUGCCAAAAUCAGCGAAGAACGAAAUCGAGUGGCUCAAGCGAAAAAACGAAAAAAAUGAUGAACGAGUGUGCUGUGACAAUAACACACACGCACAAGGCGACACCCGAAAUCUGGUGCGAUACCGGCUUUCAGUGGAGCAAGUACACACAUGCACACAUUUGGCCACACCAGCGCUCUGUUCUAGUGCAGGUAGUUUUCUGCAGUCCACGGUGAUACUACACACAGCCACGCACUUGGCGAUACACGCUGUGUGGUGGACGUUCAGAAUUCAGUGGUGCAAAUACACACAUGCAUACACUUGGCGACACACGCUCUGCUGUGCGGUGAGAUUUGUGUGCUGUGUCCAGUGGUGCAAAUACACACACACGCACUUGGCUACACACGCAGUACCCAAGUAGCAGAGCCGAAGUUGUUGAGAGGUUUUUCUGUGUGCCAAAUCGAGAGGCCCUGUCUUCUCUCUCUAGAUUUUGGACGGCAAACCGCCGCCCGUGUAGAAGUGUGUGCGUGUGACGAAAAAUUAUGGAUGAAAUACGGGGCAAGUGGGGUCUGAAGUCUUUCGUUCGUCACACACACAUGCAUUUACCAGCGGAUAUCGCUGGACCGAGUCUACCCAUCUCUCUCGAUUCACCAUGAUUUUUCUGCUAUCGCGCUCAUUCGGGUGUUAGGCAUCCUCAGUCUGUUCAGAACUUUCCCUGUGGAAGGAUGUGUUGGAGUGAGGUGCGAUUUCUUGUGCGACGUACUUUGCUCAUUUACGUUUUGUGCCUUCUUCCUCAGUUAUGGAAUGAUUUAUCCUAGCAAAUUGUUGAGUUACAGGUGUGUGCGCUAUUUAUUAACGACUGCAUGCUGGCCUCGUCAACAAUCUUCGAAGUGAGCGACGGAAUGAAAACGUUUUCCAGUUUUAAAAUAUUAAGGUAAGUUUUGAUCUAAUCCUCUGCGCUAAACUCUCCAUAGUAAUACAUACUACUUACAUUCAUUAUUGCUUCAUUCAGCCCCCGGUGAGGACGUCAUUUUUUAACAGAAGCCGGUUCAACACGCGCAGCUCCUGUUCAUGACGUCAUCAUAAAACUGAAGCCAGCAUAACACGCGCAGCACGGAUGGUACCCCGAACGCAGUAGGAGGAAGGAAGAACGAGAGGAGAAAGAACGGUAAAUUUGGAAGGGGGAAAGCGCUCUGCCGUCUACACAGCGGGAGUAUGCCAAAACACUUGUGGGAAGGGAGAGGGAUAUUAUUCAAUAAACAGCAUGCAUGUGUGUGUAAAGCAAAUGUGAACAGCCUCAUCAUUUCUAUAAGCAAUCCGAAAAAGGGGGUGGAGCAAACACAUUGGUAUGCGUGAGCGGCUGAAGAAACCAGAACGUUUAGAUGUGUGCGUGACGGAUGGUUCGGGCGCCUGUGGCGAAGCUCUCGACAAGACUGCAAACGAGAGCUUUGUGGAGAGCUUUGUAGGGAGCUCAGAUUACACAGGCCGCCGUCGGUUUUUGCGUCCUUGGGUACGGCGCGGUUGGCUUGGCAGAAGCGCAUACACACAUUCACGCAGUAGGCUUUACUUUCAGUCCAGUGAGGUUGGUGCUUGUGUGGUGUUUCAGCUCUUGGUGGUCAGCGGAUAAACCCCGUAAAAAUGGAGAUCAUUCUAAUUUAAGGUAAGUAAAAGUGAUUAAAAUUAUCAACCAACAUCCCCCCUUCUAAUUAAUAUCAUUUUUCUUCCAUUUCAUGUGUGUUUCACGGCGAACGGAGACAACAAAACCUGUGGCAGUGUCGUGGUGUUGGAGAUGGUGGCCCGUACAGUGCAGCGAGAAGAACUAGGCGCGACAGCGAUGUGGAGCAGAAAGUGCUGUGCUGAUUUUAAUUUUUCUUUGUGCGAGUGUAAAAAGUGUUUUUUAAAUUAUGUGCGUUAAUUUAGAAUUAAGUGCAGUGAUUAUUGUGCAUGUGUUGUGUGUGUGUUUUUUUUUUUGUAUUCUAUGUUGGUUCGAUAUCCAAUAAAUCGAAUCAUGUUGAUAUAAUGGUCCGCACUGUAUCAUUUUGGAAAGAAAUCCUGGCAAAAAAGGGGGAGGGGGCUAUUUUAACGAAGGGUCGUACCGAACCCCGUUCGGGUUUUGCUUCGGCUUCGGGUUUGCUUCGGCUUCGGGACCCGACGGAUCGGUUGAAUAAUUUCGCCAACUCAGCUUCAAAGCCAGCUUCAAUCUCAGCGGAUCUCUGAGUGCUGGUGACCGGUGGGAAUGUGUGCGAACAGACAGCGUCCACGGGCCCCACCGGUCACCAGCACUCAGAGAUCCGCUGAGAUUGAAGCUGGCUUUGAAGCUGAGUUGGCGAAAUUAUUCAACCGAUCCGUCGGGUCCCGAAGCCGAAGCAAACCCGAAGCCGAAGCAAAACCCGAACGGGGUUCGGUACGACCCUUCGUUAAAAUAGCCCCCUCCCCCUUUUUUGCCAGGAUUUCUUUCCAAAAUGAUACAGUGCGGACCAUUAUAUCAACAUGAUUCGAUUUAUUGGAUAUCGAACCAACAUAGAAUACAAAAAAAACACACACACAACACAUGCACAAUAAUCACUGCACUUAAUUCUAAAUUAAUGCACAUAAUAAAAAAAAAACACUUUUUACACUCGCACAAAGAACAAUUAAAAUCAGCACAGCACUUUCUGCUCCACAUCGCUGCCGCGCCUAGUUCUUCUCGCUGCACUGUACGGGCCACCAUCUCCAACACCACGACACUGCCACAGGUUUUGUUUUCUCCGUUCGCCGUGAAACACACAUGAAAUGGAAGAAAAAUGAUAUGAAUUAGAAGGGGGGAUGUUGGUUGAUAAUUUUAAUCACUUUUACUUACCUUAAAUUAGAAUGAUCUCCAUUUUUACGGGGUUUAUCCGCUGACCACCAAGAGCUGAAACACCACACAAGCACCAACCUCACUGGACUGAAAGUAAAGCCUACUGCGUGAAUGUGUGUAUGCGCUUCUGCCAAGCCAACCGCGCCGUACUGCGUGUGUAGCCAAGUGCGUGUGUGUGUGUAUUUGCACCACUGGACACAGCACACAAAUCUCAUGGCACAGCAGAGCGUGUGUCGCCAAGUGUAUGCAUGUGUGUAUUUACACCACUGAAUUCUGAACGUCCACCACACAGCGUGUAUCGCCAAGUGCGUGGUUGUGUGUAGUAUCACCGUGGACUGCAGAAAACUACCUGCACUAGAACAGAGCGCUGGUGUGGCCAAAUGUGUGCAUGUGUGUACUUGCUCCACUGAAAGCCGGUAUCGCACCAGAUUUCGGGUGUCGCCUUGUGCGUGUGUGUGUUAUUGUCACAGCACACUCGUUCAUCAUUUUUUUUUUCGUUUUUUCGCUUGAGCCACUCGAUUUCGUUCUUCGCUGAUUUUGGCAGCGCACGAGGGGGUUUCGGCUUCAACUUCCAACAACAACAACCACACGAGGAGGCUCGGGGACACUCAUCAGGGGAAAAUCACUCAAAUUAGAGCGAGAGACAGAUAGAAAAAGUGAAAGGUCAAUAUAAAAUCUUCGGCUUUUGACUGUUGGGUCGCUAGGACACUCGUGCCCAUCAACCGACGAGAGAAAACAUCUCGCAGAGAGGGCGCGUGAGUACCAUGCACGUACGCACCCAACACUAUUAAAACAACAAUCCCAGUCUGUCCAGAACUUUCGUUAUGGAAGGAUGUGCGGGAGUGAUGUACGAUUUCUUGUGUCCCCUACUUUCCUUGUUUAUGUUUUGCGCAGUGUUGCUUCUUCUUCCAUUGUGGAAUGAUUUAUCCUAGCUAACUUGUUGAGGUAAGUUUCUUGAUCUCAUAUGUGCUUCUUUGUACUAAUUCAACUAAUGCUUAUCGGCUUCUAAGUUACAUGUGCAUGCGCCAUUCAUCAACGCCUACCUGCUGGCAUCAUCAACAAUCUUCAAAGUGGGUGACGCAAAGAAUUUUUUUUCAGUUUUAAAAUAUUAAGGUAAGUGUUCCUCUCAUCAUAUACGCAAAACUUUCCAAAGAAAUACGUACUACAUACAUUAAUUAUUUAUUCAUUUUUAUUGACAGCGUUCAGCACAACUUAGCCACAAAAUAACGCACUGGAUUAUGCUAAGAACCUGUGGAAACGCGCGCAGCCCCCGGGAGCGGUAGGAAAAAGGAAGAACGAGAGGAGAAAACUAAAGCCAGCGCGCAGCUCUGAUAGCAUCCCGGACGCGGUAAGAAGAAAAAAGAUCGAGAGGAUCAAUUGAUCAAUUAAUGAUCAAUUGUACAGUUGGUUGCUUUCCAAUGACAAGGUAUACUGAGCCGAAUUUCAUAUUGACCAAUCGAUAUUUCGCAUUGUUUUGAACUGAUUUAUAUUGAGCUUCAAAAUUGUGCAGAAUAUUAUAAUUUUUUCAUCCAACCUAAUAAGCUCUCAAAAAUCAUGCAAACAAUCAACCGAGAAAAUAUUUACACCACCGUAUAGCUGAGAAACGUGAAUUUUUUCGUGGGGUUAGUUGAAAAAAACUUUCUUUUUGUCACUGAAAUAUUCAAUUUCAAAAAAGUAACAACUUUUGGGGCAAAAGAGCCAUCUCUAUUUGGGGCAAGUGUGCCACCAUCUUUCAUAGGCGCGAGCUGUCAAAAAUGUAAACAUUGUUGUAGCGUUCAGUGGUAUGGUCCGCUUUUACGAGCGGAUUCUACUCCGGAAAAACAGACCAGCAACAACCCAUAUUGCGAUACAGUUUGUGAUGAAAAGGGGUUCAUUGGUGACUCAAAGACAUGUAGGAAUACAUACACUAGUGGUACAAACGUAAUUAUUUCCAACUAUGUAAGAAAUACGGUUAUUUUAACCAGGUGGCCGUCUUGCCCCAUACGAGUGGCACUCUUGCCCCAUAGCCCAAAAAAUAACGUCUUUUUGGACCCUUUUUAAAACGCUUCAAAAACUAUGUUGUUUGCACUUUUUUCAAGCGAAAUUCAUUUAUAAGUGAGGAAAUAGAUGUAAAAUGGUUAUGAGAUUGAAAUCGGCUUUUGAAUAACACGUUUUAGUGAGUUAUAACUUGAAAUGCUUAAGGUGGCACACUUGCCCCAAAUUCCGCUACAGCAAAUGUAAACAUGUGUGCCUCAUCAUUUCUAUGAGCGUUUCUACAUACACCGAGACUGCAGCUGAGAGAUGGCUGUGAGAGAAUUGACAACCGAUUUCUCACGCUGGUGCGUGUAGAAGCUCUGAAAAGCGCCGAGAUGAGACUUUUAAAAUGAUGUUGAAAAAAUCCAUUUUAAUCGCUGAAAUGAAGUCAAAAAAGUUUCUUUUACUUUUUAAUAAUAUUUCUACGAUUAUAAGACCGCAAAAAUGCACUGUAUAAUUGAUCGAUUGCUAUAAACUGCCAAUUCAAUUUUUUCUCAGCUCCAUCGUUCUUUGCAUGCCGAGGAGAAUUCUCUCACCGAAAAUGCUGCCAGUCGCUGUCAAAGCAUGCUGUCAGUUAUUUUCUCAGCUGCAUUCUCGGUAUAUGUAGAAACGCUCUAUAAGCAAUCCGAAAAGGGGGUGGAGCAAACACAUUUGUAUGCGUGAGGUGCAGAAGAAAUCAGAGCGUUAUAGUAUGUGUGAACGCGAUCGUUCGGGUGGAAGGUGUCUAUGUGUGCGUGAAACCACAUUUCCACUUCUUCUGCAAGUGGAUUCGUAAGUGGGUAAACAAGUGUACGAGUGGAUCCCAUACAAAACUUUCCCUUUUUGCGGACUGGGAACUGCCACCCCUUCUCACUUGAUACGGACGUCACACGAAGCGUAAACUUUGUCGUAAACUGGAUUUCAGCUAUACAACCAUAUAAUCUUUUGACAGGAAGUUUACGCCUCAUACAAAUCCUGUCCCGCGAGUUGCGCUGCGCUGGACUGACACCCUCUCCCGCUCGUUUUUUUCGCAGCGCGCUGUGCGCUUCCCUUCUCCCGGACUUGAUGCACCCGAAUCAAAACAAAAACUUGAACACAGCAAACUUGGUUUAUAUUUUAUCACUUUUAUUACAAAUAAAAGCACAUUUUAAUUCAUAGCUUCACACAAUCUUGCUUCAAACUGUUAAGGUAUCAAUUCAAGUAUCGAACUAUCCAUACGUAAACACAACAACUAUGUGUAAACGCGGCCUCAUGAACUUUGUAUAUAUACACUCUGAUUUCAAUAAAACUGUGUAGUCGCAUGCUAGCUGUUUUCGGUGUCACUUCAUUUGAUCACAUAUCACAACAGGUUAUGGGCCCAGUCACCAUGGAAAAAGUUAUUCUUGGAAUUCCGCGGUAUAGCGGUGAAGGAAACUUCGACAAUUGGUGUUUCCGUGUAAAAAUGGUGAUGGAUGCAGAAAGUGUGUUACAUACACUGACUGAUGAUGUUCCUGAAGACGAAAAGAAAAAGGAAUUAUUCGAUGUUGGGGAUCGAAAAGCAAAAUGUCUGUUAGUGGGGUUUCUAGCUGAUCAAUGCUUAGAAACAGUGCGUGAUGCAAACACUGCGAAGCAAAUGUGGACGUGUUUAAAUGAAGUGUAUGCAAAGAAAUCUGUGGUUAAUCAGACAAUUUUGCGAAAACAGCUUGGGCGACUCAGGAUGCAUGAAGGAAACUCCAUGCGCGCGCAUCUUCAUGAAUUUGAAGAUUUGGUACGGCAGCUCCGAACAGCAGGUGCGAAUUUGAUAGAAGCGGAUAUCGUUUCGCAACUCUUUCUCAGCUUGCCGGACUCGUAUGAUCCAUUGAUCACAGCCUUGGAAAAUCUUCCUGAAAAAGAUUUAAGCGUUGUAAUAUCCUGGAGAUUUGACCCCUGAUAAGACCAUAGUGCCCAAUAUGCCGGAUCAGAAUAUGACCAUCACCGUGACAACUGUGCGAUAAUCUGAAUGUCAAAAUAAAGAUCAUUCGUUUACGGAUCGUUGUACUGACAACACCUUCAGCCUUCGGUUUAUUCUUCUGCCUUGCGUAUUUAUGCCUUUGUGACACGUUCAACGUUUAAUUCAAAUCGAUAAAACUCGAGGUUUUACAGCGUUGGUUUUUUGAAGCAACGUUUGUUGGUCGAAGAAUGUAAAAGAAGUGAACGUCUUGUGAAUAGUGACAGUGGGCCUUCGGCGGCGUUCGUCGAACGAAAGGAACAAAAACGAUUUUCUGGUAAGUGUCACAAGUGCGGUAAAAUAGGCCAUAUGAAAAAGGACUGUAGGGUCUCGAAUGCGCGAGGAAAUGAACGAAAAAGUGACGUGAAAAAUGAUGCGUGUUUCAUGAUUGGGACAAUCAGUGAUAGUGAGAUAACCACAUGGAUUGUGGAUUCGGGUGCUUCGGAGCACAUUACGAACAAUAAAGAAAUUUUCACCGAUCUCAACAAAAUGGAAUUUCCCAUGAAUAUUGCAGUGGCAAAAGAAGGUGCGUGCAUUACAGCUACUCACCGGGGAAACAUUUCGCGCUUAAAAAAUGUGCACAGUAAAAUUUCUGGUGCAAUUAAUUUAGAAAAUGUAUUAUACAUUCCGGAAGCAAGAGGAAACAUGUUAUCAAUGCGAAAAAUGGAAAACGCAGGUUUUAAGGUCGUUUUCAUGAAAGGGGAAAUAAAAGUGUUCAGAAACUCCGAAUUAGUUUUGGCCGGUGAAAGUUGUGGAAAUCUCUAUAAAGUAGAGUUAUAUCAAGAAAAAUCGAAUCGUGCUUUGUUCAGUGGUAAAAUUCCGGAAGAAUACGAUUUGUGGCAUCGUCGGUACGGACACCUCAGUUCGAAAAAUUUGCAAGUGCUCAUGAAAAAUAAUAUGGUGUUGGGGCUACCGAUCAUUGCUAAAAGAAGACAAAGUGUGUGAAGCGUGUAUCACAGCAAAACAAACUUUUUCUAUACGGAGUGGACAACAAUCGUCAAGAAUCCUGGAACUCGUGCACUCGGACGUGUGUGGUCCGAUGCAGAACAAUGGGGUUAACGGUGAACGAUAUUUUGUUUCGUUCAUCGACGAUUGCAGCAAAUUCACUGUGGUGUACCUGAUGAGAACAAAAGCGGAGGUUUACCAGAAAUUCCGUGAGUAUGAGGCCAUGGUGUGUGCAAAGUUUGGUGAGCGCGUUUCCAAACUUCGAUGCGACAACGGUGGCGAAUACAAAAGUCGUGAAUUUCAAUUGUAUUGCAAACAAAGAGGCAUACAAAUGGAAUGGACAAACCCGUACACGCCUGAACAAAACGGUACAAGUGAGAGGAUGAAUAGGACUCUCGUGGAAAAAGCGCGCUCUAUGUUGGAAGACAAAAGCCUUGACAAAAAGUUGUGGGGUGUGGCAGUUCAAACUGCAGCUUAUUUAGCAAAUCGAAGCCCUGCUGCUGUAAGGAUAUUGACAUGUACCAAUUCAUUCAAAUGUACUCACCUUGGCUGCAAAACAUCGCACAACUGUCAAAAUGUCACAAAUACGUAUUGUCACAAAGAGCACAUGUUUAAGGUAGAAGAAGACAGGAACGCGUCACUCUCAGUUCCCAUUCCCCGGUACCAUCCCCGGUACCAUUAUGCAUGCGAUUUUGGUCUCAUCGGGCUCUAUCUGGGCGCCCAUUAAAAUAAUCCCUUAGAAGCUCCUAUCGGGCUGAAAGCGAGAAACGUCGUGGCGGCGCGAUACAUGUUGCAUGCAUGUGUACUACAUUUUAUGACCCCUCUCGCUUUCUUUCGGAUUGCAAUGAGUUCAGACACACUUACGAAUCCGUUGUUCAAAUUUCUUUUAUUUCUUAUUUUCUUUUUAUGCACCCGCGGGAGAGUGCGAAACGACAAAGAAAAGAAAACACACACACACCUGCUCCUCCCCAUGGUGUUUUUCGCAAUGUGAUCGUAGGAGAACGCGAACGCAAAAACACACACACAAAACCAGGCACGCACGCAGGCAAGCACACAAACACACACCCCACUCCUCUCCCCUCGUGUUUU